GCUAUACAUACAAAAACUUUGAUGCUGUCAAGGCACUGCGCAACUCUUCCGAUCCUACAAGGGACACAUCACCUAGGCGGCCGUCAAUUGAUUCCAUAUUCAAUAAUUCUAAGGACUAUCCUUCAACAAAGGGAACAAGUGGAGAAAUAGACACAGAUAUGAUAACGUCAACCGGUUGUGCAAUAUCUCCAUGAUAUCGCCAGAGCUUUAUAUUGAAAAAGAAACUAGCAAAGGUGGUGGUAGCAUACACCUGUUGUAUUUGAUCAGGUUGUUCACCCCUUCAUCAGCAUUCCAAGUGUGUUUGGCACCAUGAUAUAAGUGUACAGUUAAUGCUUGAGAAACUUGGUUGAUUCGUAGGACAUGGAAACUGUUGUAGGAAAUGUAAUGUUUGUGCAAUAGAAACUUAGACUGCUUAAUAUCGUCCAUUGCCCAGGUUGGCAAUCAAAUGCUAACUCUUGUGGCAAUUGCUGGUCAGAUGAAAUUUAUUACUUCUGGGACCAAUUAUGCUGUGGUUCCUUUUUU
rnacentral:misc_RNA from 1 species